CACCGUGGAGUGCACUGGUGUUUACAACUAAUGGAUCACAACCAGUUACAGAUUCCUUUGUUCCCUCUCCACUCCCACUGCUUCACUUCACUGGUCUUAA
rnacentral:sRNA from 1 species